AUUUUCAUUUUAUUAAAAGUCUAAAUAUUUGUAGAAGCUAGCUUAAUUGCCAUUCUUUUAAUCAACGUUUUGCUAGAAUGUAAGUCGCCGAGCGGUCUUUUUAGGUUUCUUGACAUUACUUGAAAGAUGCUUUUAAGUCUAAAUAUAUUUAAUGGUACGUUAAAAUGUAUCAAGCUCCUUUAGACGUUGCAUACAAUAAAUUACUUACAAAUAACAGGCUGAACUAACUUAUUGACUUUACAAAAUUAUAAACAUAUCGAUAAAAUUGGUUAAGCGGACACUAAAGAGAAUUCAAAACACUUGCUAAUCUGAAUAUUGCACUCUUCCUCAGGUAUCAGCACCUCCUUACGUAUUUUUUAUGAAAAGGGAAAACUGGGCUAAUGCAACAUUCGUAAACCAAUUUAUCUAUUGCUAAAUCAUUCCAAAAUCGUAAGCGUUUGCAUUUCAUUGUAAAGGAGAUUGUUUUGUUGCUGUGUUAAUCUACAUGUAAUUGAUAGCAGCU